GACGAACGCUGGCGGCGUGCUUAACACAUGCAAGUCGAACGGAAAGGCCCUGCUUUUGUGGGGUGCUCGAGUGGCGAACGGGUGAGUAACACGUGAGUAACCUGCCCUUGACUUUGGGAUAACUUCAGGAAACUGGGGCUAAUACCGGAUAGGAGCUCCUGCUGCAUGGUGGGGGUUGGAAAGUUUCGGCGGUUGGGGAUGUACUCGCGGCUUAUCAGCUUGUUGGUGUGGUUGUGGCUUACCAAGGCUUUGACGGGUAGCCGGCCUGAGAGGGUGACCGGCCACAUUGGGACUGAGAUACGGCACAGACUCCUAAGGGAGGCAGCAGUGGGGAAUAUUGCACAAUGGGCGGAAGCCUGAUGCAGCAACGCCGCGUGCUGGAUGACGGACUUCGGGUUGUAAACCGCUUUCGCCUGUGCCGAAGCGUGAGUGACGGUAAUGGGUAAAGAAGCACCGGCUAACUACGUG
rnacentral:rRNA from 1 species